rnacentral:rRNA from 1 species
AGCUCCAAUAGCGUAUAUUAAAGUUGUUGCAGUUAAAAAGCUCGUAGUUGGAUUUGUGGUUGAGCUGUCCGGUCCGACACUGUUGUGUGGGUACUUGGACGGUUCGUCCAUCCUUGGGUGGAACCUGUGUGGCAUUAGGUUGUCGUGCAGGGGAUGCCCAUCGUUUACUGUGAAAAAAUUAGAGUGUUCAAAGCAGGCUUAUGCCGUUGAAUAUAUUAGCAUGGAAUAAUGAGAUAGGACCUUGGUACUAUUUUGUUGGUUUGCGCACCGAGGUAAUGAUUAAUAGGGACAGUUGGGGGUAUUCGUAUUCCAUUGUCAGAGGUGAAAUUCUUGGAUUUUUGGAAGACGAACUACUGCGAAAGCAUUUACCAAGGAUGUUUUCAUUAAUCAAGAACGAAAG